rnacentral:rRNA from 1 species
UAGGGAAUCUUCGGCAAUGGGGGGAACCCUGACCGAGCAACGCCGCGUGAGUGAAGAAGGUUUUCGGAUCGUAAAGCUCUGUUGUUAAGGAAGAACGAGUGUGAGAAUGGAAAGUUCAUACUGUGACGGUACUUAACCAGAAAGCCACGGCUAACUACGUGCCAGCAGCCGCGGUAAUACGUAGGUGGCAAGCGUUGUCCGGAUUUAUUGGGCGUAAAGCGAGCGCAGGCGGUCAAUUAAGUCUGAUGUGAAAGCCCCCGGCUCAACCGGGGGGGGUCAUUGGAAACUGGUUGACUUGAGUGCAGAAGAGGAGAGUGGAAUUCCAUGUGUAGCGGUGAAAUGCGUAGAUAUAUGGAGGAACACCAGUGGCGAAGGCGGCUCUCUGGUCUGUAACUGACGCUGAGGCUCGAAAGCGUGGGUAGCAAACAGG